GGGUCGUUAGCUCAGUUGGUAGAGCAGUUGACUUUUAAUCAAUUGGUCGCAGGUUCGAAU
rnacentral:tRNA from 2 species